CGGAUUUAGAAACUGAUAACUAAAGGAGCAAUUCGCUUUUGGGAGGGACCUGCGUCCCAUCAGCUAGUUGGUGAGGUAAUGGCUCACCAAGGCUACGACGGGUAGGGGACCUGAGAGGGGUGACCCCCCACAAUGGAACUGAAACACGGUCCAUACACCUACGGGUGGCAGCAGUAGGGAAUAUUGCACAAUGGGCGAAAGCCUGAUGCAGCAACGCCGCGUGUGCGAUGAAGGCCCUCGGGUCGUAAAGCACUUUUCUGAGAGAUGAGCAAGGACAGUAUCUCAGGAAUAAGUCUCGGCUAACUACGUGCCAGCAGCCGCGGUAAAACGUAGGAGGCAAGCGUUAUCCGGAUUCACUGGGCGUAAAGCGCGUGCAGGCGGUUCGGUAAGUUGGGUAUGAAAUCUCCUGGCUUAACUAGGAGAGGUUAUCCAAUACUACGGACUUGAGAGUGGUAGAGGAAGA
rnacentral:rRNA from 1 species